CUAUUUUGAGUGACUAUUCAGAGAAGAUUGAAGCCAUUGCUUCCAAAUUAGCUGCUCCGCCGAUGCGUUCAUAUGAUCUAAUUGUGAAUCUCCUAUUAUCUACAUAAUAGGAAGACAUUUUACAUGAAACUGCAGCAGCAAAGAUUGAAUCUACAUAAAACAUACACCAGGACUCAAAUCAACCUAAAACCUUUAUCAUCAGACGUGUGACAAUUAAGGAAAAAUGUUCCAAAAAGAAAAGCAACAUCUUGGGUUACUUCAAAAACUGAUCAUUGUUAUAAAUCCUUACUCUCUGAUACUCGAUUCUACAGAGAAGGCUGUUGAAAGUAGCUUGGCAAGCACGGGUCACGCCACUACACGCGACAGAUAUAUAGACGUCCAAAACUACGUGUUUCACAUGGCUUGUAAUGUUUGUAAGGAUGUGUGUAUUCGUCAUGGUUCUACUUUUAAUUCGGGUUACUUAAGGGUAUGUUGAGUUAGGAAAUGGGAGAUUCUCCUCCCGUA